rnacentral:lncRNA from 1 species
GACAUGAUUUUUGAAUCUUUCCCGAAUAAAAGAGCACGUUGAAGCUGGCUGAAGCGGUACACGUAUCAAGUGGGACCCAUUACAAAUGAUCUCUUGGAUCCGCGGUAAAGGAUAUAUGCGAAUGCAUGCAAUGUACUAACGGAUGCGAUCAUACCAGCACUAAUGCACCGGAUCCCAUCAGAACUCCGCAGUUAAGCGUGCUUGGGCGAGUGUAGUACUAGGAUGGGUGACCUCCCGGGAAGUCCUCGUGUUGCAUCCCUUUUUUAUUUUUAUUUUUUUCUUAUAACUUCUCAUUUUUGGUUUAAACAAUUAGAACCAUUAUAAUUCAAAUUGUUGCUCUAUUAAGGUUGUUUGAUUAUUUUUAUUUUUUUGAAAAAACUACAAAGUAGUCGUAUUAAGAUGGAUGCGUCCCCGGAAAUGCUAUGUUGUAGUUUAUUCUUUAUUAUUUUCGAUUCCAAAGACGCUAAUACGUAAGGAACGCUGUAACUUUUCAACCGUGAGGACCUAUUCCGCCAAUAAUACCUUUUCGGAAAGCUCUCAAAAAGUUACUACUUGUAUAUUGGUUUUGGUUCCAUUGGGCCUCAUUUCCGAACCCAAAUUUUGACGUUUAGGGUGUUUCCAUGAGGUUUUUGGGAUUUGGAAGAGAUUAAAGGAUCAAAAAACAUGUUCAGACAUUAUUUAUGCGUCUUUUAGGAAUAAAAAAGCACUUUUAGGAAUAAAAGAGCACGUUGAAGCUGGCUAAAAUGGUCCACGUAUCAAGUGGGACCCAUUACAAAUGAUCUCUUAAAUCCGCAGUAAAGGAUAUAUGCGAUUGUAUGCAAUGUACUAACGGAUGCGAUCAUUCCAGCACUAAUGAACCGGAUCCCAUCAUAACUCCGCAGUUAAGCGUACUUGCGAGAGUAGUACUAAGAUGGGUGACUUCCCGGGAAGUCCUCGUGUUGCAUCCCUUUUUAUUUUUAUUUUUUCUUAUAACUUCUCAUUUUUGCUUUAAACAACUAGUACCAUUAUAAUUCAAUUUUAUGCUCUGUUGAGGUNNNNNNNNNNNNNNNNNNNNNNNNNNNNNNNNNNNNNNNNNNNNNNNNNNNNNNNNNNNNNNNNNNNNNNNNNNNNNNNNNNNNNNNNNNNNNNNNNNNNUUUUUUUUUUUUUGUAAAAACUACAAAGUAAUCGUAUUAAGAUGGAUGCGUCCCCGGAAAUGCUAUGUUGUAGAUUAGUCUUUAUUAUUUUCGAUUCCACAGACGGUAAUACGUAUGGAACGCUGUAACUUUUAAUCCGUGAGGACCUAUUCUGCCAAUAUUACUUUUUCGGAAAGCUCUUGAAAAGUUACAAAGUGGUGAUGGGUCUUCAUUCCAUUGGGCCCCAUAUUCGACCCCAAAUUUUGACGUUUAGGGUGUUUCCAUGAUGUUUUUAUUAUUUGGAAGAGGUUAAUGGAUCGAAAAAAUGUUCAGAGAUGAUAUAUGCAUCUUUACUGAAUAAAAGAGCACGUUGAAGCUGGCUAUAAUGGUCUAUGUACCAAGUGGGACCCACUACAAUUGAUCUCUUGAAUCCGCGGUAAAGGAUAUAUGCGAUUGUAUGCAAUCUACUAACAUAUGCAAUCUACUAACUUUUUAAGAGCUUUCAAAAAAUGUAUUAUCGGCGGAAUAGGUCCUUACAGUUGAAAAGUUACAGACUUCCGUACGUAUUGGAAUCGAAAAUAAUAAAGAAUAAACUACAACAUAGCAUUUCCGGGGACCCAUCCAUCUUAAUACGAUUAUUUUGUAGUUUUUUCAACAAAAAAAAAAUAAUCGAACAACCUCAAUCGAGCAACAAUUUGAAUUAUAAUGGUACUAAAUGUUUAGUACAUUGCAUACAAUCGCGCAUAUCCUUUACCGAGGAUUCAUGAGAUCAUUUGUAGUGGGUCCCACUUGGUACUUGGACCACUUUAGCCAGCUUCAACGUGCUCUUUUAUUCGGUAAAGACGCAUAAAUCGUGUCCAAACACUUUUUAGAUCCUUUAAUCUCUUCAAAUCACAAAAACCUCAUGGAAACACCCUAAACGUCAAAAUUUGGGGUCAAAAAUGAGGCUCGAAGGAACAAAGACCGAUCGCCACUUUGUAACUCUUUGAGAGCUUUCCGAAAAGAUAUUACUGGCGAAAUAGGUCCCCACAGUUUAAAAGUUACGGCGUUCCUUACGUAGUAGCGUCUUUAAAACUUCUCAUUUUUGGUUUAAACAACUAGUAUCAUUAUAAUUCAACUUGUUGCUCUAUUGAGGUUGUUCGAUUAUUUUAUUUUUGUUGAAAAAACUACAACGUAAUCGUAUUAAGAUGGAUGCGAACCGGAAAUGCUAUGUUGUAGUUUAUUCUUUAUUAUUUUCGAUUCCACAGACGCUAACACGUACGAAACGCGGUAACUUUUAAACCGUGAGGACAUAUUCCGGCAAUAAUACCUUUUCGGAAAGCUCUCGAAAAGUUACAAAGUGGCGAUCGGUCUCUGUUCCUUCGAGCCUCAUUUUCGACCCUAUAUUAUGACGUUUAGGGUGUUUCCAUGAGGUUUUUGUGAUUAAAGGAUCGAAAAAAGUGUUCGGACAUGAUUUAUGCGUCUUGAUCAAAUAAAAGAGCACGUUGAAGCUGGCUAAAGCGGUCCACGUAUCAAGUGGGACCCACUAAAAAGAACUCUUGAGUCCGCGGUAAAGGAUAUAUGCGAUUGUAUGCAAUGUACUAAAGGAUGCGAUCAAACCAGCAUUAAUGCACGAUCCCAUUAGAACUCCGCAGUCAAGCGUGCUUGGGCGAGAGUAGUACUAGGAUGGGUGACCUCCCGGGAAAUCCUCUUGUUGCAUCCCUUUUUUGUUUUUUUCUUUUAACCUCUCAUUUUUGUUUAACCAACUAGUACCAUUAUAAUUCAAAUUGUUGCUCUAUUGAGGUUGUUCGAUUAUUAUUUUUUUGUUGAAAAAACUACAAAGUAAUNNNNNNNNNNNNNNNNNNNNNNNNNNNNNNNNNNNNNNNNNNNNNNNNNNNNNNNNNNNNNNNNNNNNNNNNNNNNNNNNNNNNNNNNNNNNNNNNNNNNNNNNNNNNNNNNNNNNNNNNNNNNNNNNNNNNNNNNNNNNNNNNNNNNNNNNNNNNNNNNNNNNNNNNNNNNNNNNNNNNNNNNNNNNNNNNNNNNNNNNNNNNNNNNNNNNNNNNNNNNNNNNNNNNNNNNNNNNNNNNNNNNNNNNNNNNNNNNNNNNNNNNNNNNNNNNNNNNNNNUUAUGCGUCUUUACCGUAUAAAAGAGCACGUUGAAGCUGGCUACAGCGGUCCACGUACCAAGUGGGACCCAUUACAAAUGAUAUCAUGAAUCCACGGUAACUUGUAUGCAAUGUACUAACGGAUGGGAUCAUACCGGCACUAAUGCACCGGAUCCCAUAAGAAAUCCGCAGAUAAGCGUGUUUGGCUGAGAGUAGUACUAGGAUUGUUGACCUCCAGGGAAGUCCUAGUGUUGCAUCCCUUUUUAUUUUUAUUUUUUCUUANNNNNNNNNNNNNNNNNNNNNNNNNNNNNNNNNNNNNNNNNNNNNNNNNNNNNNNNNNNNNNNNNNNNNNNNNNNNNNNNNNNNNNNNNNNNNNNNNNNNAUUCAACUUAUUGCUCUAUUGAGGUUGUUCGAUUAUUUUUAUUUUUUUCAAAAAACUACAAACUAAUCGUACUAAGAUGGAUGCGUCCUCGGAAAUGCUUUGUUGUAGUAUAUUAUUUAUUAUUUCGAUUCCAAAGACGCUAAUACGUACGGAACUUCGUAAUUUUUAAACCGUCAUGACCUAUUCCGCCGAUAAUACCUUUUCGGAAAGCUCUCGAAAAGUUACUGAAUGGCAAUGUGUCGUCGUUCCUCUGGGCCUCAUUUUCGAACCCAAAUUUUGACGUUUUUGGUGUUUCCAUGAGGAUUUUGGGAUUUGGAAGAGAUUAAAAAAUCCGAAAACGUGUUCAGACAUGAUUUAUGCGUCUUUUAGGUAUAGAAGAGCACGUUGAAGCUGGCUAAAAUGGUCCUCGUAUCAAGUGGGACCCAUUACAAAUGAUCUCUUGAAUCCGCGGUAAAGGAUAUAUGCGAUUGCAUGCAAUGUACUAACAUAUGCGAUCAGUCCAGCACUAAUGCACCGGAUCCCAUCAUAACUCCGCAGUUAAGCGUAAUUGGGCAAGAGUAGUACUAGGUUAAGUGACUUCCCGGGAAGUCCUCGUGUUGCAUCCCUUUUUAUUUUUAGUUUUUCUUAAAACUUCUCAUUUUUGGUUUAAACAACAAGUAUCAUUAUAAUUCAACUUGUUUCUCUAUUGAGGUUGUUCGAUUAUUUUAUUUUUGUUGAAAAAACUACAAAGUAAUUGUAUUAAGAUGGAUGUGAACCGGAAAUGCUAUGUUGUAGUUUAUUCUUUAUUAUUUUCGAUUCCACAGACGCUAACACGUACGAAACGCGGUAACNNNNNNNNNNNNNNNNNNNNNNNNNNNNNNNNNNNNNNNNNNNNNNNNNNNNNNNNNNNNNNNNNNNNNNNNNNNNNNNNNNNNNNNNNNNNNNNNNNNNGAACACAAAUUUUGACGUUUAGGGUGUUUCCAUGAGGAUUUUGGGAUUUGGAAGAGAUUAAAGGAUCCGAAAACGUGUUCAGACAUGAUUUAUGCGUCUUUUAGGAAUAGAAGAGCACGUUGAAGCUGGCUAAAAUGGUCCUCGUAUCAAGUGGGACCCAUUACAAAUGAUCUCUUUAAUCCGCGGUAAAGUAUAUAUGCGAUUGCAUGCAAUGUAGUAAGAAAUGCGAUCAGUCCAGCACUAAUGCACUGGAUCCCAUCAUAACUCCGCAGUUAAGCUUACUUGGGCAAGAGUAGUACUAGGUUGGGUGACUUCCCGGGAAGUCCUCGUGUUGCAUCCCUUUUUAUUUUAAUUUUUUCUCAAAACUUCUCAUUUUUGGUUUAAACAACUAGUAUCAUUAUAAUUCAACUUGUUGCUCUAUUGAGGUUGUUCGAUUAUUUUAUUUUUCUUGAAUAAACUACAAAGUAAUCGUAUUAAGAUUGUUGCAAAUGCUAUGUUGUAGUUUAUUCUUUAUUAUUUUCGAUUCCACAGACGCUAAUACGUACGAAACGCGGUAACUUUUAAACCGUGAGGACAUACUCCGCCAAUAAUACCUUUUCGGAAAGCUCUCGAAAAGUUACAAAGUGGCGAUUGGUCUCUGUUCCUUCGAGCCUCAUUUUCGACCAUCAAUUUUGACGUUUAGGGUGUUUCCAUGAGGUUUUUGUGAUUAAAGGAUCGAAAAAAGUGUUCGGACUUGAUUUAUGCGUCUUUACCGAAUAAAAGAGCACGUUGAAGCUGGCUAAAGCGGUCCACGAAUCAAGUGGGACCCACUAAAAAUGAUCUCUUGAGUCCGGGGUAAAGGAUAUAUGCGAUUGUAUGCAAUGUACUAAAGGAUGCGAUCAAACCAGCACUAAUGCACGGAUCCCAUUAGAACUCCGCAGUCAAGCGUGCUUGGGCGAGAGUACUACUAGGAUGAAUGACCUCUCGGGAAAUCCUCUUGUUGCAUCCCUUUUUUGUUUUUUUCUUUUAACCUCUCAUUUUUGUUUAACCAACUAGUACCAUUAUAAUUUAAAUUGUUGCUCUAUUGAGGUUGUUCGAUUAUUUAAUUUUUUUGAAAAAACUACAAAGUAAUCGUAUUAAGAUGGAUGCGUCCCCGGAAAUGCUAUGUUGUAGUAUAUUCUUUAUUAUUUUCGAUUCCAAAGACGCUAAUACGUACGGAACGCCGUAACUUUUAAACCGUGAGGACAUAUUCCGCCAAUAAUACCUUUUCGGAAAGCUCUCGAAAAUUUACUGAAUGGCAAUGGGUCUUCGUUCCUCUGGGCCUCAUUUUCGAACCCAAAUUUUGACGUUUAGAUGUUUCCAUGAAGAUUUUGGGAUUUGGAAGAGAUUAAAGGAUCUGAAAACGUGUUCAGACAUGAUUUAUGCGUCUUUUAGGAAUAGAAGAGCACGUUGAAGCUGGCUAAAAUGGUCCUCGUAUCAAGUGGGACCCAUUACAAAUGAUCUCUUGAAUCCGCAGAUAAGCGUGCUUGGGCGAGAGUAGUACUAGGUUGGGUGACUUCCCGGGAAAUCCUCUUCUUGCAUCCCUUUUUCUGUGUUUUUUUCUUUUAACCUCUCAUUUUUGUUUAACCAAAUAGUACCAUUAUAAUUCAAAUUGUUGCUCUAUUGAGGUUGUUCGAUUAUUAUUUUUUUUGUUGAAAAAAUUACAAAGUAAUCGUAUUAAGAUGGAUGCGUCCCCGGAAAUGAUAUGUUGUAGUUUAUUCUUUAUUAUUUUCGAAUCCAUAGACGCUAAUACGUAUGAAAGUCUGUAACUUUUUAACUGUGAUGACCUAUUCCGCCGAUAAUACAUUUUCGGAAAGCUCUAAAGAAGUUACAAUAUGGCAAUGGGUCUUCGUUCCUUUGGGUCGACCCCAAAUUUUGACGUUUAGGGUGUUUCCUUGAGGUUUUUGUGAUUUGGUAGAGAUUAAAGGAUCGAAAAAAGUGUUCGGACAUGAUUUAUGCGUCUUUACCGUAUAAAAGAGCACGUUGAAGCUGGCUACAGCGGUCCACGUACCAAGUGGGACCUAUUACAAAUGAUAUCAUGAAUCCACGGCAAAUUGUAUACAAUGUACUAACGGAUGCGAUCAUACCGGCACUAAUGCACCGGAUCCCAUAAGAAAUCCGCAGAUAUGCGUGCUUGGGCGAGAGUAGUACUAGGAUUAGUGACCUCCAGGGAAAUCCUAGUGUUGCAUCCCUUUUUAUUUUUAUUUUUUCUUAUAACUUCUCAUUUUUUGUUUAAACAACUAGAACCAUUAUAAUUCAACUUGUUGCUCUAUUGAGGUUGUUCGAUUAUUUUUAUUUUUUUGAAAAAACUACAAACUAAUCGUACUAAGAUGGAUGCGUCCCCGGAUAUGCUUUGUUGUAGUAUAUUAUUUAUUAUUUCGAUUCCAAAGACGCUAAUACGUACGGAACACCGUAACUUUUAAACCGUCAGGACCUAUUCCGCCGAUAAUACCUUUUCAGAAAGCUCUCGAAAGUUACUGAAUUGCAAUGUGUCUUCGUUCUUCAGGGCCUUAUUUUUGAACCCAAAUUUUGACGUUUAGGGUGUUUCCAUGAGGAUUUUGGGAUUUGGAAGAGAUUAAAGGAUCCGAAAACGUGUUCAGACAUGAUUUAUGCGUCUUUUAGGAAUAGAAGAGCAUGUUGAAGCUGGCUAAAAUGGUCCUCGUAUCAAGUGGGACCCAUUACAAAUGAUCUCUUGAAUCCGUGGUAAAGGAUAUAUGCGAUUGCAUGCAAUGUACUAACAUAUGCGAUCAGUCCAGCACUAAUGCACCGGAUCCCAUCAUAACUCCGCAGUUAAGCGUACUUGUGCAAGAGUAGUUCUAGGUUGGGUGACUUCCAGGGAAGUCCUCGUGUUGCAUCCCUUUUUAUUUUUAUUUUUUCUUAAAACUUCUCAUUUUUGGUUUAAACAACUAGUAUCAUUAUAAUUCAACUUGUUGCUCUAUUGAGGUUGUUCGAUUAUUUUAUUUUUGUUGAAAAAACUACAACGUAAUCGUAUUAAGAUGGAUGCGAACCGGAAAUGCUAUGUUGUAGUUUAUUCUUUAUUAUUUUCGAUUCCACAGACGCUAACACGUACGAAACGCGGUAACUUUUAAACCGUGAGGACAUAUUCCGGCAAUAAUACCUUUUCGGAAAGCUCUCGAAAAGUUACAAAGUGGCGAUCGGUCUCUGUUCCUUCGAGCCUCAUUUUCGACCCUAUAUUAUGACGUUUAGGGUGUUUCCAUGAGGUUUUUGUGAUUAAAGGAUCGAAAAAAGUGUUCGGACAUGAUUUAUGCGUCUUGACCAAAUAAAAGAGCACGUUGAAGCUGGCUAAAGCGGUCCACGUAUCAAGUGGGACCCACUAAAAAGAACUCUUGAGUCCGCGGUAAAGGAUAUAUGCGAUUGUAUGCAAUGUACUAAAGGAUGCGAUCAAACCAGCAUUAAUGCACGAUCCCAUUAGAACUCCGCAGUCAAGCGUGCUUGGGCGAGAGUAGUACUAGGAUGGGUGACCUCCCGGGAAAUCCUCUUGUUGCAUCCCUUUUUUGUUUUUUUCUUUUAACCUCUCAUUUUUGUUUAACCAACUAGUACCAUUAUAAUUCAAAUUGUUGCUCUAUUGAGUUUGUUCGAUUAUUAUUUUUUUGUUGAAAAAACUACAAAGUAAUCGUAUUAAGAUGGAUGCGUCCCCGGAAAUGAUAUGUUGUAGUUUAUUCUUUAUUAAUUUUGAUUUCAUAGACGCAAAUACCUACGAAAGUCUGUAACUUUUUAACUGUGAUGACCUUUUCCGCCGAUAAUACAUUUUCGGAAAGCUCUAAAAAAGUUACAAUAUGGCAAUGGGUCUUCGUUCCUUUGGGUCGACCCCAAAUUUUGACGUUUAGGGUGUUUCCUUGAGGUUUUUAUGGUCGGUAGAGAUUAAAGGAUCGAAAAAAGUGUUCGGACAUGAUUUAUGCGUCUUUACCGUAUAAAAGAGCACGUUGAAGCUGGCUACAGCGGUCCACGUACCAAGUGGGACCCAUUACAAAUGAUAUCAUGAAUCCACGGUAACUUGUAUGCAAUGUACUAACGGAUGGGAUCAUACCGGCACUAAUGCACCGGAUCCCAUAAGAAAUCCGCAGAUAAGCGUGUUUGGCUGAGAGUAGUACUAGGAUUGUUGACCUCCAGGGAAGUCCUAGUGUUGCAUCCCUUUUUAUUUUUAUUUUUUCUUAUAACUUCUCAUUUUUUGUUUAAACAACUAGAACCAUUAUAAUUCAACUUAUUGCUCUAUUGAGGUUGUUCGAUUAUUUUUAUUUUUUUCAAAAAACUACAAACUAAUCGUACUAAGAUGGAUGCGUCCUCGGAAAUGCUUUGUUGUAGUAUAUUAUUUAUUAUUUCGAUUCCAAAGACGCUAAUACGUACGGAACUUCGUAAUUUUUAAACCGUCAUGACCUAUUCCGCCGAUAAUACCUUUUCGGAAAGCUCUCGAAAAGUUACUGAAUGGCAAUGGGUCGUCGUUCCUCUGGGCCUCAUUUUCGAACCCAAAUUUUGACGUUUUUGGUGUUUCCAUGAGGAUUUUGGGAUUUGGAAGAGAUUAAAAAAUCCGAAAACGUGUUCAGACAUGAUUUAUGCGUCUUUUAGGUAUAGAAGAGCACGUUGAAGCUGGCUAAAAUGGUCCUCGUAUCAAGUGGGACCCAUUACAAAUGAUCUCUUGAAUCCGCGGUAAAGGAUAUAUGCGAUUGCAUGCAAUGUACUAACAUAUGCGAUCAGUCCAGCACUAAUGCACCGGAUCCCAUCAUAACUCCGCAGUUAAGCGUACUUGGGCAAGAGUAGUACUAGGUUAAGUGACUUCCCGGGAAGUCCUCGUGUUGCAUCCCUUUUUAUUUUUAGUUUUUCUUAAAACUUCUCAUUUUUGGUUUAAACAACAAGUAUCAUUAUAAUUCAACUUGUUUCUCUAUUGAGGUUGUUCGAUUAUUUUAUUUUUGUUGAAAAAACUACAAAGUAAUCGUAUUAAGAUGGAUGUGAACCGGAAAUGCUAUGUUGUAGUUUAUUCUUUAUUAUUUUCGAUUCCACAGACGCUAACACGUACGAAACGCGGUAACUUUUAAACCGUGAAGACAUAUUCCGCCAAUAAUACCUUUUCGGAAAGCUCUCGAAAAGUUACAAAGUGGCGAUCGGUCUCUGUUCCUUCGAGCCUCAUUUUCGACCCUAAAUUAUGACGUUUAGGGUGUUUCCAUGAGGUUUUUGUGAUUAAAGGAUCGAAAAAAAUGUUCGGACAUGAUUUAUGCGUCUUUACCGAAUAAAAGAGUACGUUGAAGCUGGGUAAAGCGGUACACGUACCAAGUGGGACCCACUACAAAUGAUCUCUUGAAUCCGCGGUAAAGGAUAUAUGCGAUUGUAUGCAAUGUACUAAAUGAUGCGAUCAAACCAACACUAAUACACCGGAUCCCAUCAGAACUCCGCAGUCAAGCGUGCUUGGGCGAGAGUAGUACUAGGAUUGGUGACCUCCAGGGAAGUCCUAGUGUUGGAUCCCUUUUUAUUUUUAAUUUUUCUUAUAACUUCUCAUUUUUCGUUUAAACAACUAGAACCAUUAUAAUUCAACUUGUUGCUCUAUUGAGGUUGUUCGAUUAUUUUUAUUUUUUGAAAAAACUACAAAGUAAUCGUAUUAUGAUUGAUGCGUCCCCGGAAAUGCUAUGUUGUAGUAUAUUCUUUAUUAUUUUCGAUUCCAAAGACGCUAAUACGUACGGAUUGCCGUAAGUUUUAAACCGUCAGGACCUAUUCCACCGAUAAUACCUUUUCGGAAAGCUCUCGAAAAGUUACUGAGUGAUUAUGGGUCUUCGUUCCUCUGGACCUCAUUUUCGAACACAAAUUUUGACGUUUAGGGUGUUUCCAUGAGGAUUUUGGGAUUUGGAAGAGAUUAAAGGAUCCGAAAACGUGUUCAGACAUGAUUUAUGCGUCUUUUAGGAAUAGAAGAGCACGUUGAAGCUGGCUAAAAUGGUCCUCGUAUCAAGUGGGACCCAUUACAAAUGAUCUCUUUAAUCCGCGGUAAAGUAUAUAUGCGAUUGCAUGCAAUGUACUAAGAAAUGCGAUCAGUCCAGCACUAAUGCACUGGAUCCCAUCAUAACUCCGCAGUUAAGCGUACUUGGGCAAGAGUAGUACUAGGUUGGGUGACUUCCCGGGAAGUCCUCGUGUUGCAUCCCUUUUUAUUUUAAUUUUUUCUCAAAACUUCUCAUUUUUGGUUUAAACAACUAGUAUCAUUAUAAUUCAACUUGUUGCCCUAUUGAGGUUGUUCGAUUAUUUUAUUUUUGUUGAAAAAACUACGAAGUAAUUGUAUUAAGAUGGAUGCGAACCAGAAAUGCUAUGUUGUAGUUUAUUCUUUAUUAUUUUCGAUUCCACAGACGCUCAUACGUACGAAACGCGGUAACUUUUAAACCGUGAGGACAUAUUCCGCCAAUAAUACCUUUUCGGAAAGCUCUCGAAAAGUUACAAAGUGGUGAUCGGUCUCUGUUCCUUCGAGCGUCAUUUUCGACCCUAAAUUUUUACGUUUAGGGUGUUUCCAUGAGGUUUUUGUGAUUAAAGAAUCGAAAAAAGUGUUCGGACAUGAUUUAUGCGUCUUUACCGAAUAAAAGAGCACGUUGAAGCUGGCUAAAGCGGUCCACGUAUCAAGUGGGACCCACUAAAACUGAUCUCUUGAGUCCGCGUUAAAGGAUAUAUGCGAUUGAAUGCAAUGUACUAAAGUAUGCGAUCAAACCAGCACUAAUGCACGGAUCCCAUUAGAACUCCGCAGUCAAGCGUGCUUGGGCGAGAGUAGUACUAGGAUGAGUGACCACCCGGGAAAUCCUCUUGUUGCAUCCCUUUUAUUGUUUUUUUUUCUUUUAACCUCUCAUUUUUUUUUAACCAACUAGUACCAUUAUAAUUUAAAUUGUUGCUCUAUUGAGGUUGUUCGAUUAUUAUUUUUUUGUUGAAAAAACUACAAAUUAAUCGUAUUAAGAAGGACGUGUCCCCGGAAAUGCUAUGUUGUAGUUUAUUCUUUAUUAUUUUUGAUUCCAUAUACGCUAAUACGUACGGAACGCCAUAACUUUUAAAUCGUGAGGACCGAUUCCGCCGAGAAUACCUUUUCAUAAAGCUCUCAAAAAGUUAAUGAAUGGCAAUGGAUCUUCUUUCCACUGGGCCUCAUUUUCGAACCCAAUUUUUUACGUUUAGGGUGUUACAAUGAGUAUUUUGGGAUUUGGAAGAGAUUAAAGGAUCUGAAAACGUGUUCGGACAUGAUUUAUGCGUCUUUUAGGAAUAAAAUAGCACUUUUAGGAAUAAAAGAGCAUGUUGAAGCUGGCUAAAAUGGUCCACGUAUCAAGUGGGACCCAUUACAAAUGAUCUCUUGAAUCCGCAGUAAAGGAUAUAUGCGAUUGCAUGCAAUGUACUAACAGAUGCGAUCAUACCAGCACUAAUGCAUCAGAUCCCAAUAGAAACCCGCAGAUAAGCGUGAUUGGGCGAGUGUAGUACUAGGAUUGGUGACCUCCCGGGAAGUCCUCGUGUUGCAU